rnacentral:rRNA from 1 species
UACGGAGGGUGCGAGCGUUGUUCGGAAUCACUGGGCGUAAAGCGCGUGUAGGCGGCCCACUAAGUCUGAUGUGAAAGCCCGGGGCUCACCCCCGGAAGUGCAUUGGAAACUGGUGGACUCGAGUCCCGGAGAGGAGAGUGGAAUUCCUGGUGUAGCGGUGAAAUGCGUAGAUAUCAGGAGGAACACCGGUGGCGAAGGCGGCUCUCUGGACGGUGACUGACGCUGGGACGCGAAAGCGUGGGGAGCAAACAGG